rnacentral:rRNA from 1 species
GGGGUAACAGGGAGCUUGCUCCGCUGACGACCGGCGCACGGGUGCGCACCGCGUAUGGAACCUGCCUUUUACAGGGGAAUAGCCCAGGGAAACUUGGAUUAAUGCCCCGUGGCACCACGGCCCGGCAUCGGGAUGUGGUUAAAGCCUUCGGGCGGUAGAAGAUGGCCAUGCGUCCCAUUAGCUGGAUGGUAAGGUAACGGCUUACCAUGGCUACGAUGGGUAGGGGCCCUGAGAGGGGGAUCCCCCACACUGGUACUGAGACACGGACCAGACUCCUACGGGAGGCAGCAGUGAGGAAUAUUGGACAAUGGGCGAGGGCCUGAUCCAGCCAUGCCGCGUGCAGGAAGAAUGCCCUAUGGGUAGUAAACUGCUUUUAUACGGGAAGAAAAAGGGGCACGUGUGCCCCACUGACGGUACCGUAAGAAUAAGGACCGGCUAACUCCGUGCCAGCAGCCGCGGUAAUACGGAGGGUCCGAGCGUUAUCCGGAAUUAUUGGGUUUAAAGGGUCCGUAGGCGGGCCGGUAAGUCAGGGGUGAAAGUCUGUAGCUCAACUAUAGAAUUGCCUUUGAUACUGCCGGUCUUGAGUUAUGGUGAAGUUGCCGGAAUAUGUGGUGUAGCGGUGAAAUGCAUAGAUAUCACAUAGAACACCGAUUGCGAAGGCAGGUGACUAACCAUAUACUGACGCUGAUGGACGAAAGCGUGGGGAGCGAACAGGAUUAGAUACCCUGGUAGUCCACGCCGUAAACGAUGGAUACUAGCUGUCCGGGUCCUUGAGGCCUGGGCGGCCAAGCGAAAGUGAU